CAACUUGAGAGUUUGAUCCUGGCUCAGAACGAACGCUGGCGGCAGGCCUAACACAUGCAAGUCGAACGCCCCGCAAGGGGAGUGGCAGACGGGUGAGUAACGCGUGGGAACAUGCCCUUCGGUUCGGAAUAACUCAGGGAAACUUGAGCUAAUACCGGAUACGUCCGCAAGGAGAAAGAUUUAUUGCCGAAGGAUUGGCCCGCGUCCGAUUAGCUAGUUGGCGGGGUAAAAGCCCACCAAGGCGACGAUCGGUAGCUGGUCUGAGAGGAUGAUCAGCCACAUUGGGACUGAGACACGGCCCAAACUCCUACGGGAGGCAGCAGUGGGGAAUAUUGGACAAUGGGCGCAAGCCUGAUCCAGCCAUGCCGCGUGAGUGAU
rnacentral:rRNA from 1 species